rnacentral:rRNA from 1 species
GACGAACGCUGGCGGCGUGCUUAACACAUGCAUGUCGAACGGAAAGGCCCUGCUUUUGUGGGGUGCUCGAGUGGCGAACGGGUGAGUAACACGUGAGUAACCUGCCCUUGACUUUGGGAUAACUUCAGGAAACUGGGGCUAAUACCGGAUAGGAGCUCCUGCUGCAUGUUGGGGGUUGGAAAGUUUCGGCGGUUGGGGAUGGACUCGCGGCUUAUCAGCUUGUUGGUGGGUUAGUGGCUUACCAAGGCUUUGACGGGUAGCCGGCCUGAGAGGGUGACCGGCCACAUUGGGACUGAGAUACGGCCCAGACGCCUAAGGGAGGCAGCAGUGGGGAAUAUUGCACAAUGGGCGGAAGACUGAUGCAGCAACGCCGCGUGCGGGAUGACGGCCUUAGGGUUGUAAACCGCUUUCGCCGGUGACGAAGCGUGAGUGACGGUAAUGGGUAAAGAAGCACCGGCUAACUACGUG